UACGUAGGGUCCAAGCAUUAUCCGGAAUCACUGGGCGUAAAGCGUGCGUAGGUGGCGCGUUAAGUGAGAUGUUAAAUCGUGUGGCUCAACCAUAUCGAUGCAUCUCAUACUGGCGUGCUAGAGGACAGCAGAGGCAAGUGGAAUUUGUAGUGUAGCAGUGAAAUGCGUAGAUAUUACAAGGAACACCAAUGGCGAAGGCAGCUUGCUGGGCUACUCCUGACACUGAGGUACGAAAGCGUGGGGAGCGAACAGG
rnacentral:rRNA from 1 species